rnacentral:tRNA from 1 species
GCGAAUGUAGCCAAGUGGAUCAAGGUAGUGGAUUGUGAAUCCACCACGUGCGACUUCAAUCCCCGUUGUUCGCC